GACGAACGCUGGCGGCGUGCCUAAUACAUGCAAGUCGAACGAACACAACCGGUGCUUGCACUGGUCACGCUAGUGGCGAACGGGUGAGUAACACGUGGGUAACCUGCCCAUCAGAGGGGGAUAACAUCGGGAAACGGGAGCUAAUACCGCAUAAGACUUUGAACCGCAUGGUUCGAUGAGGAAAAAAGGUGCAAGCUUCUGUUGAAGGAUGGUCCCGCGGUGCAUUAGCUAUUUGGUAAGGUAACGGCUUACCAAGCCAGCGAUGCAUAGCCGACCUGAGAGGGUGAUCGGCCACAUUGGGACUGAGACACGGCCCAAACUCCUACGGGAGGCAGCAGUAGGGAAUCUUCCGCAAUGGACGCAAGUCUGACGGAGCAACGCCGCGUGAGUGAUGAAGGUUUUCGGAUCGUAAAACUCUGUUGUUAGAGAAGAACAAGUGCGAGAGUAACUGUUAGCGCCUUGACGGUACCUAACCAGAAAGCCACGGCUAACUACGUG
rnacentral:rRNA from 1 species